rnacentral:lncRNA from 1 species
CUGUUCUCGAACUCCUGACCUCGAGUGAUCUGCCUGCCUUGACCUCCCAAAGUGCUGGGAUUGCAGGCAUGAGCCACUGCGCCUGGCCUACAAUUAGACUUUUUUAAUAAGUGAAAAAGAAAUUAACAGUAUUUAUAAAUUUAAUAGUAAAUAUGUAUAAUCAGAGUUUGAGGUAUUUUUCAAUGAAGGCAUUUUCUUUGCAGAAAGAAAUUUCAGAGCUUCCAAGACCACAAACUUAAAAUAAGUAAAGAAGCAGUAAAAUUCUUAAAAAGAUGCAGAAAGAUGGAUUUUUGCAUGAGAUGCUUCUGGACAGAGAACCAAAUUGAAAGCCGACAGAUACUGCAAAUGACUGGGAUUUUUGUUUCUGCCUUAUCUUUUUGUGUUUUUUUCUGAAUAAAAUAUUCAGAGGAAAUGCUUUUACGGAG